rnacentral:lncRNA from 1 species
UGACAUCAACCUGGAUGGAGUUGACACACAUCUCAAUGAGGUUGACAUAGCUUCAACAUCUUUGAGAAAAAAACUAAAGGGAGAAUCAAGCCACAAGUGAAAUAUCAACAAGUAUUAAUAAUUAAUAUAUCAAACAAAUAAGUAAGUGUAAACUAUCAUACCUUUAAAGACUAAUGAUCCUUAACCUUAUCAUCUAGAACAACAUUUAGAAUUUGUAAGCUACUAAUGAACUCAUUAAGCCCUUAAAAAAGUCCAACCCUUCCUACAAUUGUGACACCGGAGUAUACAGACCUAAUAAACAUUAGGAUAGUAAAAAAAAUCCAUAAUAGUAAGGACAUGCCGUCCAGAAGCUACACAAAACAAAAAAAAUAUAACCUUAAAAUUUUCAAAAAAUAAAAACUCAAAUCAAGGCGUCAGAACAAACA